rnacentral:rRNA from 1 species
GUAGGGAAUUUUGGGCAAUGGGCGCAAGCCUGACCCAGCAACGCCGCGUGAGUGAAGAAGGCCUUCGGGUUGUAAAGCUCUGUCAGAUGGGAAGAAAAAACCCGGGUAACUCCGGGGAUUGACCGCCAUCGGAGGAAGCACCGGCUAACUCCGUGCCAGCAGCCGCGGUAAUACGGAGGGUGCAAGCGUUGUCCGGAAUCAUUGGGCGUAAAGGGCGUGUAGGCGGCCCUGCAAGUCUGGUGUGAAAGCCCCCGGCUUAACCGGGGAAGUGCAUUAGAAACUGUGGGGCUUGAGUACGGGAGAGGAAGGUGGAAUUCCCAGUGUAGCGGUGAAAUGCGUAGAUAUUGGGAGGAACACCGGUUGCGAAGGCGGCCUUCUGGACCGUCACUGACGCUGAGACGCGAAAGCGUGGGUAGCAAACAGGAUUAGAAACCCUAGUAGUCC